GUAAAUUCGAUGAGGGAUCGAGUAGAUCAUGCCCCGUUGGCAGAGAGAAAGCUCCGCGGCUGGAAGGGCUUUUCAAUGAGGGAUGAUGGAAGGCUAAUCCUGAGAGCAGUUGAACCCUGCCGGUUUUCAACCGUUACCGAGAUGGAGGGGGCGCCGCGUAGGCGCAACCAGGGUGGUACCGCGAGAAUAACUCUCGUCCCUGUA
rnacentral:ncRNA from 1 species